GUACAAGGAAUCCUCCUGUCUGGAACUACAGGCACAAGAUGAUUUUUCACCUAGUGGAGUCAUUGAACAGUGGUCUUCAAAUUGGGAUUAUUUCCAAGAAUAGAUUAAAAUGCCAUGAAAAAGAAAAAAUUAUAGAAAAGCAAAAAGAGCUGAAUGCAGUGAAUGAACAUCUGUGAAUGAAGUUGAGAAGGUAUAUGUGGGGCAGACUAGAAUUGCAGUGCACAGAUACAAGAAUGUUGCCUGCUUUGGAGCCAAGACUGCCUUCCGGAUAAAGGGCCCACAGAGAGCUGAGAGCUGUGUAAUACCUCAAAGACUGAAGAAAAGAGUUAGACAGCCAUCUUUCCUUAGAGGAUUUUGCUGCAGACAGCUUGAACUACCAGAAGGUUAUAUACUGACCAUGGGUAGAGUAAGGAAGAAAUACAUCCUUCGGAAAGGACAAUGAAGAUCUUUACAGCAGGGAGGUGAGGACAAAGUGAUUCUCCCUUCUGGAGGAUGCAGCAAAGUGCUGCCUGCCAUCUUGGAAGCACAGAGUAGCCUUCACCACACUCUAAUCCCAUCAGAGCCUUGAUCUUGGACUUGCCAGCCUUCAGAACAGUCUUGCCUCAUCACUGCCAUGACAGGGGGGUCCAAUGUGAGGAUUCUGGUGUCUAUGCCAAGCAUCUCUUUUCCAACGUAGAUCUGAUUUCUUAACAUAGCCAACAGCAAGUCAACAUCAGCUUUGCAGAGAAAAGCAGGGAUGCGUGUGCACAAAGAAAAGGCCAUGUGAGGACAUAGCAAGAGGGAAGCUGUCCGCAAGCCAAGGAAAAAGGCCUCAGGAGAAACCAAAUCUGCCAAUACAUUGAUCUUGGACUUCCAGCAUUCAGAAAUGGAGACUUGUAUUUUCUGACAUUCAACUUAAUCGAAGAAUAAAGCUUUAACAGUGGCAUCAGUGACAUGAUGAAUGAUGCAUCAUUUUGAAGUAAUAAUGGUUUUCCCAGUGACUCAGAAAUAGCAGUAUGUUCAGAUUCAGUGUGCCUGUUCAUGAGAGCUCUGCAGAAAUUGCACAUCUGGCUCUUUGCCUGUGCACCUGAAGUUAUCUCAGGAGAAAUUAUACAAAUUAAAUACAGACACAGAGAAGGUCUUUUUUAAUUCAAAGGAAAAGAAUAUAUAUUCAAGAAAAGCAAAAAAGGUAAGAGAAAAGGUAAGGGACUGUAGUGAUAUUAAGCUAGGAAACUAACAAAAUGAUGA
rnacentral:lncRNA from 1 species